GCCGGGAUGGCGCAAUUGGCUGACGCGAUGGUCUCAAAAUCCAUUGUCCGAAAGGACGUGCGGGUUCGAAUCCCGUUCCCGGCA
rnacentral:tRNA from 1 species